UACAGAGGUCUCAAGCGUUGUUCGGAUUCACUGGGUUUAAAGGGUGCGUAGGUGGGUUGGUAAGUCAGUGGUGAAAUCUCCAGGCUUAACUUGGAAACUGCCAUUGAUACUAUCAGUCUUGAAUACCGUGGAGAUGAGCGGAAUAUGUCAUGUAGCGGUGAAAUGCUUAGAUAUGACAUAGAACACCAAUUGCGAAGGCAGCUCGUUACACGAAUAUUGACACUGAUGCACGAAAGCGUGGGGAUCAAACAGG
rnacentral:rRNA from 1 species